GUGAAGGAGGAAGUGACAUCUGUAUUCUCCCAAGUCUUUUCAUUGGAGAAGCAUGAGCUGCUUGAUUAUAAUUAUCUGUGUGGAAUGACCAGAAUGAAGAAGCUGAAACGACCUUCUGUCAACUGUAGUUUUUCCUGGAAUGGGCAGGAGGUUGCAUCCUUGACUGGACAGGGUAGUCUAUAUAUUAUGGCAAACACACCACUGCCAUCUAAGGUUUCAGAGAUCGUCAAGUGUGAUGGUGAUGAUGAUGACGAUGAAGAUGAUUAUGAUGAUGUUUACAUCAGAAGUGAAGAGAAAGUGAUAGAUAAUAGUACUUCCCAUCAAUGUUUAAUAAGGUGUACAGUGGAAGAACCAUGAGCUAUUUCUAUGCAACGUCUAAUAACCUUUAGAUUGGGAAUUCUGAUGUUGACAGCAAAGACCUGGAGACAUUACGAGUAAUGUUUCCUCAAACAUCAGUAAAGCAAUUUGAAGAGGCAUUAAAAGACAAUGUCAAUAUAGAUUUUGCCAUUGAGGAAUUGCUCUCCAAUUCAGCUGAAACUGUUGAAAGUUUGGGUAAUUUUGAAACAGCAGAAUACUUCAGACGACAGUUGACUGGAAAGAUUUAUACUGUCAGUUUCUAGAGAUAAUUUUUGGCAAGAGGGAUUUAUGUUUUACAAACAAGGUGGUGCAAAUUUAGAAAGACAUUCCAUGUUUCAUUUGAUGACAAUGGAACAGAGCUUGGUAUAGACACCGGUGGGCUUCGUAGAGAGUUUUUCCAGUUAUUGGCAGAUAACAUGACGUAAACUUACUUCGGUUUUUUUGAUGAAGACAUUCCGAAUCUUUUGCCGGCAAUGAAAGGCCCAGCAUUAAGACUUGAUCACUUCCGCAUUUUUGGAACUAUGAUUGCACACUACAUAGCAAAUGGAGGAAUAGGAUUUCCAUUUAUGGGUCGGCCCUUGUUCGAAUACAUUUUGAAUCAAAAUGCCGAGUCCUGUCUCUUGUUCUGCAAGUCCGAAAUGGUUCCACAUAAAGAAACAAAGGAACUGGUCCAAGAGGUUUCUACAUGUACUGAAAAAAACUUUUCUCGAUAAGCUUCACGGCCAGAUGUGUUAGACUACAUAGUCUAACAAUACAGGUUAGACUGGUGCUAUUACCUUUAAGGAAAAAGAGCAGAUUGUUGCGACUGCCAUUUUUCACGAAGUUAUAUGGAAGCGAGAAUCUGCCAUCAAUCAACUUCUGCAAGGACUAAAGUUUUUCAAGGUUCAGGAAACUGCUAGAAAAUUUCCUCAGCACUCUCUGCCGAAAUUUGUCUCGACGAAUAUGGUUUUGAACAGCAAUGUCUUGCUGCAGCAUGUUAAAUUUAGGGAGGCAUAAACGAGUCGGAAAAACGAACCAAACAAUUUGAGUAUAUAGAAGAGAACAUCGAAAUAGCGUGUGGCGAUGUUCAUUACUGGACAACAGUCAGUCGCUGGAAGCCUUCCCAGCAAAAAGAUGUUGCAUUUAUCGAGGAUCUAGAGGCAAGUUACCCUACAGCUGGCACAUGCGGAAUAAAGUUUUAUCUUCUAACAAAACAUCUAAUGUUCAACCAAUUCUCAGCAGCCAUGGACAAAGCACUGGAGUGUGAGUCUUAUGGUUUUCACUGUUUUUGAUCGACAAAGUACAAUGCUCAAAAUGAAGGUUUCAAAUGUAGUUAAAAAUACUUGUUAUUUUUGAAACACUAGCACACCAAUUGUUUGAAAUAUUGUUUGGCAUAUUAACCGAAG